AUUAUAUCACUGUUGCAUAUUGAAGUUCAUUACAUUGUUCCGUCUGAUGAUGAGAUGGUAGCUCCAUAUAUGAUAGGCAUUUUGUAUAAGAAACCUUUGCAACCACAUGCGCGAGGGGACAUACAAUGUGGAGAUACGGGCGAUGCAGGCACGAGUGUCCCUAUCCAAUCUCACACACCUAAACCACGGUUGUUAAUGAUAAUAGAUGGAUAUAAAAGGCAUUCGAGCGAUAUUGAAGAUGACGACAAUGAUGAUUUUGUUGAUACACCACCGAGAAGGAAAAAGACUCCUUCCCAUUUCCACCCACCUACUGAGGAGCAUGCAACGCGGGAAUAUUAUCCUACAGAGCCAGAGGGACAUGACAUCCAUACUUCAGCCCAGUCGCAAGCUACCCGUACAGAUGAUGAACCACAACCAGCUGUACGUUAUCUAGUAUAUUUAUUUCUAGAGUCACAAUUUCUGAUAUUAUGUCACAAUCACAAGUCACAUAAUAAUGUGUUAUAUUGUCAAAUCACACAUAUUUCAACGAGCAGUAGACCUAUGUGUACAGGUCACAGAUUUGCCAAAUAAGGUCAUGGACUAAUGUCUGCAGUUUAUUAAGAAAUAUGAUUUUAUCUCACAUUGUUGUGUCACAAGUCACAAACAUAUGGCUUAUACAUUUGCACUGGUCACAAAUCACAACCAUGUGACAUACCCAUUUUGCAAUUAUUAAAUUACAAGUGUUUGACAAGUUGAGAGAGGAGUUAUGUGGACAGAUGAUCGAACUC
rnacentral:lncRNA from 1 species